UACGGAGGGUGCAAGCGUUAUCCGGAUUCACUGGGUUUAACGGGUGCGUAGGCGGUUUAGAAAGUCCGUUGUGAAAUCUCUGAGCUUAACUCGGAAAUUGCGGUGGAUACUAUUAGUCUUGAAUACUGUGGAGGUUAGCGGAAUAUGUCAUGUAGCGGUGAAAUGCGUAGAUAUCGAUCGGAACACCCGUGGCGAAGGCGGCUUGCUGGCUCGCAACUGACGCUGAGGCGCGAAAGCGUGGGGAGCAAGCAGG
rnacentral:rRNA from 1 species